rnacentral:rRNA from 1 species
UACGGAGGGUGCUAGCGUUGUUCGGAAUUACUGGGCGUAAAGCGCGCGUAGGCGGCUAUCCAAGUCAGAGGUGAAAGCCCUGGGCUCAACCCAGGAAUUGCCUUUGAAACUGUUUAGCUUGAGUGUCGGAGGGGAUAGCGGAAUUGCUAAUGUAGAGGUGAAAUUCGUAGAUAUUAGCAGGAACACCGGUGGCGAAGGCGGCUAUCUGGACGACAACUGACGCUGAGGCGCGAAAGCACGGGGAGCAAACAGG